rnacentral:sRNA from 1 species
CCUGAGGCUGCAGAUGAGACUUGUCCCCAGCUGGCUGUCCAUUCUCCUGGUGUCAGCAAGCUGGGUUUGCAGUGUCUUCCAAGCGACGGUGUUCAGAAUGUGAACCAGUGACUCUCAGGCGCCCCUGUGAAUGAAGAACUGCAUGUGGCUUCUCUGUCUCUGUGGAAAAGCCAUCUCAGGUUGGCGGCAGACACAUUGUCAUCAGAGGGGAGCAGCGGCUCUGGUCCUCGGAGCUGGUUCCUCUCUCCCACCCUAAGGGCAGCCCUCCAUGGUCCUGUCUGUCCUUCUGAAGUGUGUCCAUCCUGACCUGCGGGUCCUCAGCUGCUCCCACACUUGUGCCAGCCCGGAGAGGACUGGUCCCGGUCACCGCGGACGUGCUGGCCUUGAACGAAUGACUCUGGGGUUGAUGUUGCCGGAUCUCAGGGGUGGCUGUGACUGACAGAGGACCUUGUCGCACCUCGUGGCUGCUUUGUUCACCCGCAGGGCGGCCUGUGGGCACCCCGGGGUUCCCCUUCAGUCCCAAGGAGGGGCGAGCACACACCCUGGAGGAGCCCAGAUGGCCUUGUGCUGAGUGUGGCCUCAGCUCCCAUUGCCUCACGGGG